CGUCUUUUGGGUGGGGCAAGACCACAGCAAAUGAAUUCGCAGUCCCUGCCUCCCCUUUUCUGCCUGGGAAGCAACUAGCUCCUGACGCUCUUUCCCAGGAGGCAGCUCUUUGCCGCGAUAGCGACAGAAGAUGGCUGCCGUGGCGAGCUAGCAAGCUCUGGAUUCCGCAAGCUCCUGGCGAACUUCACUUCUAAGAAGACCUCCCAGAAUGACCUGACAUGGAGAAAGCCAGAAAGAUGUGAGAAAAUAAGUUCUCCAAACUGACGCCUAGAAUUGCUUCGUCUAGUUUAUAACAACUGGAAGAUUAAGCUUCACACCCUAUGAUAACACUGAAGAAUUAAAGAAGAAACUGUGUGGGCCUACACGCAGUUAUCUGAUCUGCUAGGGUAUGUUCCUAAAAUAAAAAUGUAAAAAAAUAAUCCCUCACAUUGUCACACACACACACUAAUUGUCUCUUUUAUUUCAACAAUUCAGCUACUCAGGCCUUCUUGAAGUCAUUUUUGUAAACACUGUGUGCACCAAGAAGUGUCUGGAGACAUGAGGGUGGAGAAAGCACAUAUUGUUUAUUGAAUAUCCGAGGACGCUUCCUUCAGGCAACCUAAGGCAUGUGUGAGUGCUAUCCUAAGAGCCACAUUUUCCAGAAGUGAGGUCAUUGCAAAUGCUGCCUCAGAAGAGUGUGCUAAUGCCAAAGUUAUCCUCAACAGCAUUUCCAGAUCUGCUCUUUAAAAGGGCCAGAGACGUGUUUUAAAUAUAUAAAUCAAGGGCGAGUGAGGCAAAGGUUCAGCAGUUCACUCCUAAGCAUUGGCCCCCCUUCUCCUCAGAAGUCAAUUUUUUAGACUUCAUUUCGGGAGCUGAAAGAAAGAAAAACAGAGAUAGAAGCAGCACUAUUCAAAUGUGUGAUUGUCAGCAAACUUGAACAAAUAAAAGCAGUGGGGAAGGGAAAGUGUUUCAAACCAGAGAAAAUACAAUGGAAGAAACAUGUCUGAGCAUUAGUUUACAGCACUAAAUAAAUAACUAAUGUUAACAUCUCCAGUAUAUUGUUUGAAUAUCCUCUAGUUUAAAAUUAGUAUUCUAUGAAGUCUAAACAGGAAGCCACAUUUAAUUCCCUGUCGAUCCCAAUUUUAACUUGGCUUUCAUAGUUGAAAAAUUUAUGAGCAAAUUGAAAAAGCAGUGGGCAUAAGAAAAGAAGCCCAAAGCUUUUUCGAGGUGAGCAAGGAAGCCUCAUGAAAGGGGAAAAUGGAAAAUCUUGUCAGGCCCUUUGCCGUCUGCUAGAAUAUUCUGCUAAUCCUGACCUUAACGGGUCUAUAAAGCCUCAAAUGUGAAUGAGGGAAAAAUGAAACCACUGGGCUCUCGGCUUUAGUGAAAGGGAAGGGGUCAUCGGGAAUGUUUUUCAUUCCCCAAAGCUGCUCAGGUGAAUAAGUGCUUGAUGACUGUUCAGACAAGAAACUGUAUACUGAGAGGAGUCUGUCCUUUCCAUGAGGCUAUGGGAACACUUUGUCCUUUGGCGGAAGUCUCCAUAUAUUGAAUGACAUCAGUGGGAGCCUGGAGUAAUAGGUCUGCUCCUAUGUGGACAACAGAACAAACCCCGGAGUGGGAAUUCUGAAAACACAUGUGCACACAAAGAGGCAUGGUGCCACUCUUUCCCUGCCUGCACAUUGUGUCAUUAACCCAAACAGACCACACACCAUCACCCUUUCAUAAGCCCUUCCUUGCUGGACACUAGUUGUCAUUUCAAGUUUAUCCUAGCCAAGUCCACAUUUCAUAUUUUUAGAUUAAUAUCAAAGACUCUUCGAGCUGGAAGGUGCUUUAUAGAUACUGAAACUCAGUCAUCAGCAUUUGGAACAUUGACACAAUUUAAAUAAUUUAAUUUGGAAAUUAAUUUCCCCCUUUUUUAAGAUAAAAAUAUCUUGUUGUAAAGGUCUGUUAGCUCCUACAAUGUGUAAAUGUUUAGCUGUAAACUUGACAUUUAUUUUAGCAAUAAUUUAUGAAAAUGUAACAGGCUAAGUAAGCUUAAGAGUUUAGAGGAAAGUUGAAAAUACUCUUUUCAUUUUUUUCUCUUCUAUUCCUUAAAAAAAAUUAGAUAGAAUCUUGCUGUAUUACCCAGGCGGGCCUUGAACUUGCAGUAUGGUUGCCUUGGCCUCCAGCGAACAGAGAUCACAGACGUGUGCCACCACGCUAAAGUUCUCAUCCAUUAUUUAUGUCUUCUUCAUACACCUACACCUGGGAAAGGAACUGAGGAAAUUACAAAAUUAAGUGGGUAUUAGAAGCACAGGAAGAUAGUCCCUCAACCUUAACUGAAAUGAGUAGGCAUAACUGAGAUUCACGGGGUGGGGGGACGAAACAGAAUGGAUUUCACAGAUUUGAAAAUGGAUAAACUCUGAAUGCCUCUGCUUUUAUUUCUUCUGA